GAAGAAAGCAUGCAGUAUAUCGGUUAUUUGAUUUCUCUGGAACUCUUUGGUUGCCAUCUUCUGUGCCUUCCCAAACUCCUCCUCAUUUUGGAUCAUCCAAACAAGCAGGCAGUUCUACAAAGCAGAAGGUCCCUUCCUGCCCCUUUGCCUCUGAGCCUUGUGUGUCUUCUCCAGGUAGAAGAAAGCAGCUCUCAGCCUCUCUGAAAUGCUAUGUGCAGCAGCCACUGUCUGUGCUGGCAGCUCUCCACUGAGCUCUACCUGCUUUGACAGCAUCCCUCAUGUUCCCAGGGUCUGGGAUCUGUCCUGUCUCAUUGCUUGAACUCACCUGUGUGUGUCCAGUUUGCCCAAAUGUAGCUCAGUCAUCCUCUGUUAUGGGUAUUUUUGGUCUGACCCAGGAGCUCUGUGAGCAAACCUCGGGGAAUUUAUUUCCCUGAGCCCUUCCUGUUUCCCUCAGUUCUGCGUCCUUCACAUGACGGAGCAGUGGGCCCACAUUUCACACACGUCUCCUCUUGCUGCUGCUGUACCUUCCUCCCCACCUUCCCAUCCCUUGCAGUCACAUUUCUCCAAGCUCUCUGUAUAUGGGGCUUUUUUGCCCUUGGAGCAUCACAGCAGGACACAAUGUGAUUUGGGGUGUGUUUGACCUGGGUUCAGGGCACAAUGUGAUUUGGGGUGUGUUUGCUCUGGGAUCAGGGCACAAUGUGAUUUGGGGUGUGUUUGCUCUGGGAGCAGGGCACAAUGUGAUUUGGGGUGUGUUUGACCUGGGUUCAGGGCACAAUGUGAUUUGGGGUGUGUUUGCUCUGGGAGCAGCAGGGCACAAUGUGAUUUGGGGUGUGUUUGACCUGGGUUCAGGGCACAAUGUGAUUUGGGGUGUGUUUGACCUGGGUUCAGGGCACAAUGUGAUUUGGGGUGUGUUUGACCUGGGUUCAGGGCACAAUGUGAUUUGGGGUGUGUUUGCUCUGGGAAGCAGGGCACAAUGUGAUUUGGGGUGUGUUUGCUCUGGGAGCAGCAGGGCACAAUGUGAUUUGGGGUGUGUUUGCUCUGGAUUCAGGGCACAAUGUGAUUUGGGGUGUGUUUGCUCUGGGAGCAGGGCACAAUGUGAUUUGGGGUGUGUUUGCUCUGGGAGCAGCAGGGCACAAUG